CAAAGCCGCGAGGCAGAGNGAACCCCAAAAAGCCGUCCCAGUUCGGAUCGCAGGCUGCAACCCGCCUGCGUGAAGUCGGAAUCGCUAGUAAUCGCGGAUCAGCAUGCCGCGGUGAAUACGUUCCCGGGCCUUGUACACACCGCCCGUCACACCAUGAGAGUCGGGAACACCCGAAGUCCGUAGCCUAACCGCAAGGAGGGCGCGGCCGAAGGUGGGUUCGAUAAUUGGGGUGAAGUCGUAACAAGGUAAC
rnacentral:rRNA from 1 species